AGUUUCUGGCAAUAGGCAAAGAGACAGCUUAUUGGUACUAUCAUUCUUAUAUUAGUCCGGGGCAGAGUAAAUGGCAGUCCUUUGUUCAUCCUAACUUGAUGCCUAGCUUGAUGGCUAAAGCUGUGUUAGGCCUAAGACAUACAA